rnacentral:rRNA from 1 species
UAAUGUAUGGGGAUCUGCCCGAUAGAGGGGGAUAACUACUGGAAACGGUGGCUAAUACCGCAUAAUGUCUACGGACCAAAGCAGGGGCUCUUCGGACCUUGCACUAUCGGAUGACCCCAUAUGGGAUUAGCUAGUAGGUGGGGUAAAGGCUCACCUAGGCGACGAUCUCUAGCUGGUCUGAGAGGAUGAUCAGCCACACUGGGACUGAGACACGGCCCAG